rnacentral:rRNA from 1 species
CCAUCAUUUAAAGAAAGCGUAAUAGCUCACUGGUCGAGUCGGCCUGCGCGGAAGAUGUAACGGGGCUAAACCAUGCACCGAAGCUGCGGCAGCGACACUAUGUGUUGUUGGGUAGGGGAGCGUUCUGUAAGCCGUUGAAGGUGUGUCGUGAGGCAUGCUGGAGGUAUCAGAAGUGCGAAUGCUGACAUAAGUAACGAUAAUGCGGGUGAAAAACCCGCACGCCGGAAGACCAAGGGUUCCUGUCCAACGUUAAUCGGGGCAGGGUGAGUCGACCCCUAAGGCGAGGCCGAAAGGCGUAGUCGAUGGGAAACAGGUUAAUAUUCCUGUACUUGGUGUUACUGCGAAGGGGGGACGGAGAAGGCUAUGUUAGCCGGGCGACGGUUGUCCCGGUUUAAGCAUGUAGGCGGAGGUUCCAGGUAAAUCCGGUACCUUAUUAACGCUGAGGUGUGAUGACGAGGCACUACGGUGCUGAAGUAACAAAUGCCCUGCUUCCAGGAAAAGCCUCUAAGCAUCAGGUAACACAAAAUCGUACCCCAAACCGACACAGGUGGUCAGGUAGAGAAUACCAAGGCGCUUGAGAGAACUCGGGUGAAGGAACUAGGCAAAAUGGUGCCGUAACUUCGGGAGAAGGCACGCUGAUAUGUAGGUGAAGUGAUUUACUCAUGGAGCUGAAAUCAGUCGAAGAUACCAGCUGGCUGCAACUGUUUAUUAAAAACACAGCACUGUGCAAACACGAAAGUGGACGUAUACGGUGUGACGCCUGCCCGGUGCCGGAAGGUUAAUUGAUGGGGUUAUCCGUAAGGAGAAGCUCUUGAUCGAAGCCCCGGUAAACGGCGGCCGUAACUAUAACGGUCCUAAGGUAGCGAAAUUCCUUGUCGGGUAAGUUCCGACCUGCACGAAUGGCGUAAUGAUGGCCAGGCUGUCUCCACCCGAGACUCAGUGAAAUUGAACUCGCUGUGAAGAUGCAGUGUACCCGCGGCAAGACGGAAAGACCCCGUGAACCUUUACUAUAGCUUGACACUGAACACUGGUCCUUGAUGUGUAGGAUAGGUGGGAGGCUUUGAAGCGUGGACGCCAGUCUGCGUGGAGCCAACCUUGAAAUACCACCCUUUAAUGGCUGGUGUUCUAACGUAGACCCGUAAUCCGGGUUGCGGACAGUGUCUGGUGGGUAGUUUGACUGGGGCGGUCUCCUCCUAAAGAGUAACGGAGGAGCACGAAGGUUAGCUAAUCCUGGUCGGACAUCAGGAGGUUAGUGCAAAGGCAUAAGCUAGCUUGACUGCGAGAGUGACGGCUCGAGCAGGUGCGAAAGCAGGUCUUAGUGAUCCGGUGGUUCUGAAUGGAAGGGCCAUCGCUCAACGGAUAAAAGGUACUCCGGGGAUAACAGGCUGAUACCGCCCAAGAGUUCAUAUCGACGGCGGUGUUUGGCACCUCGAUGUCGGCUCAUCACAUCCUGGGGCUGAAGUAGGUCCCAAGGGUAUGGCUGUUCGCCAUUUAAAGUGGUACGCGAGCUGGGUUUAGAACGUCGUGAGACAGUUCGGUCCCUAUCUGCCGUGGGCGCUGGAGAAUUGAGGGGGGCUGCUCCUAGUACGAGAGGACCGGAGUGGACGCAUCACUGGUGUUCGGGUUGUCAUGCCAAUGGCAUUGCCCGGUAGCUAAAUGCGGAAGAGAUAAGUGCUGAAAGCAUCUAAGCACGAAACUUGCCCCGAGAUGAGUUCUCCCUGAGACUUUAAGUCUCCUGAAGGAACGUUAAAGACUAUGACGUUGAUAGGUCGGGUGUGUAAGUGUAGCGAUACAUUGAGCUAACCGAUACUAAUGAACCGUGAGGCUUAACCUU